rnacentral:rRNA from 1 species
CACGGAGUUAGCCGAUGCUUAUUCAUAAGGUACGGGCAUCUGACUACACGUAGUCAUUAUUCUUCCCUUAUAAAAGAGGUUUACAACCCAUAGGGCAGUCUUCCCUCACGCGACUUGGCUGGUUCAGGCCUGCGCCCAUUGACCAAUAUUCCUCACUGCUGCCUCCCGUAGGAGUUUGGACCGUGUCUCAGUUCCAAUGUGGGGGACCUUCCUCUCAGAACCCCUACCUAUCAUUGCCUUGGUGGGCCGUUACCCCCCAACUAGCUAAUAGGACGCAUGCCCAUCUGAUACCUCGAAUGAUUUAAUUAUUAAAAGAUGCCUUCAAAUAAUAUUAUGGGGUGUUAAUCCACGUUUCCAUGGGCUAUCCCCCUGUAUCAGCCAGGUUGCAUACGCGUUACUCACCCGUGCGCCGGUCGCCAUCAAGGUAUUGCUACCUCAUGAUGCCCCUGACUUGCAUGUGUUAAGCCUGUCGCUAGCGUUCAUCCUGAGCCAGGAUCUAAA